UNUGACUUGAGUGCAGAAGGGGAGAGUGGAAUUCCAUGUGUAGCGGUGAAAUGCGUAGAUAUAUGGAGGANCACCAGUGGCGAAAGCGGCUCUCUGGUCUGUCACUGACGCUGAGGCUCGAAAGCGUGGGUAGCGAACAGGAUUAGAUACUCUGGUAGUNCACGCCGUAAACGAUGAGUGCUAGGUGUUAGGCCCUUUCCGGGGCUUAGUGCCGGAGCUAACGCAAUAAGCACUCCGCCUGGGGAGUACGACCGCAAGGUUGAAACUCAAAGGAAUUGACGGGGGCCCGCACAAGCGGUGGAGCAUGUGGUUUAAUUCGAAGCAACGCGAAGAACCUUACCAGGUCUUGACAUCCCGAUGCUAUUCUUAGAGAUAGGAAGUUACUUCGGUACAUCGGAGACAGGUGGUGCAUGGUUGUCGUCAGCUCGUGUCGUGAGAUGUUGGGUUAAGUCCCGCAACGAGCGCAACCCUUAUUGUUAGUUGCCAUCAUUAAGUUGGGCACUCUAGCGGGACUGCCGGUAAUAAACCGGAGGAAGGUGGGGAUGACGUCAAAUCAUCAUGCCCCUUAUGACCUGGGUUACACACGUGCUACAAUGGUCGGUACAACGAGUUGCGAGCCGGUGACGGCAAGCUAAUCUCUGAAAGCCGAUCUCAGUUCGGAUUGGAGGCUGCAACUCGCCUCCAUGAAGUCGGAAUCGCUAGUAAUCGCGGAUCAGCACGCCGCGGUGAAUACGUUCCCGGGCCUUGUACACACCGCCCGUCACACCACGAGAGUUUGUAACACCCGAAGUCGGUGAGGUAACCUUUUAGGGGCCAGCCGCCUAA
rnacentral:rRNA from 1 species